rnacentral:lncRNA from 1 species
CGAGGCUCCCGGGCCCGCCGGCGUCUGUGGGGAACUGGGGCGCUGGUCGGUGCGCGGGCUGGGACGCUAAGUCAUGAGGAAUUAAACUGGGAAACCUGGCGUGGGUCCAGGCGCCUUCCAGGAGGCAUCCGGCGCGGCCCGGACGUGCUUCUACCCAGAACCACCCCCUCCAGGCCGGGGUGCACUUAACGGGGCUAUACAAAGAGUCUGACACUGUUAUUGCCCAUCUGAACUCGUCAACUGAGAAGGAAAGAGAUGGUUUAUGCUGUGAAUAAAAUACAGUUGUGCUGUGAUGUAAAUCCCCUCAUCCUGGAGCAGCUGAGCAAGGUCUAAGGCAGGAAGAACCUUCAAGCAGGCAGCCUCUAGGAGCUGAGGGUGCCCUCCAGCUGACAUCCAGAAAGAAAUUGAAGCCCUAGGUUGUGAAACCACAAGGACGUGAAUUCUGC